rnacentral:rRNA from 1 species
AUGGCUGACCGCGACGCAUCCGACACCGCGGCUGUCCGCGACGAGGCCCUGGAGGCGCUAAAGCUCCACGACGCGGGCAACCACGCGGAGGCGCUGGCCCGCGCCGUGGAGCUCGCCGGCGCUCAUCCAGGCUCCGCGCUCGCGCGCAACCUCACCGGGUAUCUGCACAAGCAGGCGGGCGUCGCGCAUCGACCGGCCGCGCCCUCGGCGACGAGCAGGCCGCGUCCGAGCACUACUCCGCCUCGCUCGAGUCCUUCUCCGCCGCGGCGACUCUCGCUCCUAACUGCAUCGUCACAGCAUUGGCCCACGCGGAGGCGCUCGCCGCCUGCCAUCGGCACGGCGACGCGCACAAGGAGCUGCUGCGCGCCCUCGCGAUCACCGACGCCGACCACGACGACCCUGCUCUUCACAACGUGCGGGUUGAGUCCUCCGAUCUGCUGUGCCGCGACAUGGAGAAGCCGAGGAAGAGGAAAGCCAUCAUGGACCGAUUCGCCAAGAUCAUCUGCCAAGAGACUGUACCUAGAGAGGCCAAGGAAUUGCUGGAUCCCUGCUGCUGCAACGCGAGAGAAAGCAAGGAUCCUCUCCCACAGCUAUCCUUACUCCGCGCGUGCCCAGCUCCUUGCUGCAUACACCGAUUUGGCGCAAGCUCGUGCCCUCCAUCUGCCAACCUGCAAGAAGCAACUCCUGCGUCGCACUCUUGGCAUCAUUAGUCCUGCCGCAGCAAAGUUUGAUUCCUCGCUCGUCAUCGCUUUGUUCCGCGCCAAGCUCUUGUUCGCUUUGGAUGAAUUUGAUGCUGCUGAGAGCGAGUGCCUCCGAGCACUUCGCAUUGCUACCCCAGAUGACCCCAGUAACGAAGCCAUCCCUCCUCUUUCUGUCUCUGGGGAAGAUUACGCUUCCAGAGUACUAUCUAUGAAGAAGCAGCUACAUGUCUUACAUAAGCAGAUCACAGUGGGGGCUGCAACCUACUGGUGCUCUAUGACAAACACGCAGCAGCAGGACUGUAUCAGAUCAGUGAGUGUUGACGAGUUGCAUGCACAUUAUCACAGGAUCGACAAGUCUGCGGCAAAUACCAUAGCUGAUGUGCAGCGCUUUGUUAAGAGGCACGAUGCUUGGAGGUUCUGGACGUGCCCUCAUUCGAGUUGUCAUGCCAAGAAGUUUCUGAACCCUCACACACUCUGGCAACAUAUGUGCAGCAAGCACCGGGACGAUAACUGGGAGAAACUUCAGGCAAUGUUAGGAACUGCACUUCGUGCAGAUUCAUUGAAGGAGGAUCACUUGCUGAAUGGGGUAACUCUCAGUGAGGAUUCACUCCAUCAGCGUGACGUUUUCCGCUUACCAAGGAUACAGGAUGUGUUUGAAUCCUUGCUAUGUUGGCCAUCUGUUGGAAUGGAAGCAGAGCCGGUUGCCGGAAUGCAACGGAGGAAAUGCAGCGAAGCUUUGCAGAUCCUGGAGGACAUGAAAGAGAAAUUGAAGAUGCUGCCGGAAGAGUCAUCUAGCACGGAGUUUGGCGACUGUUGCUUGGAAAUACAAGCGAUGCUGCUUAAGUUUGUUGAAGUUUCAGUUAUGGAUUAUCGUCAAGUCAUACUUCCCCUUGCAGGAUCAUUUCGAUGGAGAGAUAUUAAAAGAGAUAUUGUUCAUGCUGUGAAUGCCCCUGGAAAGACAAUUGGUGAUGCAAAGAUUGAUGCUGUUUUCAGCUCAAUUUUCUCCCAAGCAAAGCAUAUGGACCAUCAAAACGGUGACAACAGACAGAUAAGGAACCUGGAGACAUUACACAAAGAGGAAGAGAUGCUCAAGGCUGACACAUGUGAAGAUGCGAUGAACGAAACUGCAGGAUUGGCAGAUGUGGCGCUAUCAGAUAAAAGAGUUUUGAGCUGGAUUGGCUGCAGCAAAAGCCAGGAUACUAACUCUGAAGUGAUGGAUGGCGAGGAACAUAUAUCAUAUGAACGAGUCCUUGAUCCACUUAUGUUUGGAGGGUCACAAGUUUACAAUGCAUGCACCUGGAGUGUUAAUGGUCCAAGGAACUUGAUUUGUGAAAGCUACAAACAAUGCAUGGGAAAUAUAUUGAUGUGGAAUUUCCUGAAAGGAAAACAGCUUGAUGUAAGCAAAUUAUUGGGUGAAGAUUGUUUCCUGUCCACAACAGAAGUUGAGGGAACCUUCUAUCUCACCCUUGAGUACUAUGAUGCUGAGGAUGACGAAAACUACAGGGUGACAGUGCCCAUUGAUGGCAGGGAGGGUUGGACCUACGGUAUCAUAAAUGAUCAUGGUCGAUUCGAGUACCAUCAUUCUUAUAUGCGAUACAUGACAGAAGAAAACGAGAUGAUGUUGGAUUUCCCAGGAGAUUAUGCGAACUUGUCACCAGAUGGUCAUACCAAGAUGCAACUUGGCGUACCUUCCAUUCAGUGGGCUAUCAAAGUAGCCGCAAAGCAUACAGCAGAAAUGCCUACCACACUGGAAUUUCAAACAGCGUGUGGGAUAAUUGUCAAUUAUGCCUGUGAAGGGUAUAAGCAGAAUCCAUCAAUGAAAUUGAAUUGUGAUUCACUCAUAUCAGAGGGCAAUACCUACAUGGAUUGGUUGGUAUCUAAAAAGAAUAAGAGGUGGAUGAAGUUCAGUGAAGGCAGUCUUCACUGCUUCUUGAUGAGGCUCAGAUAUCCUGCUGACUUAUAUGAGGCGAAAUUUCCUCCAACAGAGGAUGUUGUAACUGCUGAGGAUGCUAUGAGAUGUCUCUUGAUUUAUCCUUAUAACGCCAUCCCAAGGCCAUCGUGGAAGACACGCGCAAGAACUUGGAAGUGUUUCCCACUAGAUAGAGGCGCCGAAGAAGCCGGUGGCCAACCACAUCACCUGAGCAGCAUCUUCGGAGAAAGAUGGCAGUUUAAUAAGCAGCUGCUACAUGAUAUUCCGAGCCAGAACUUCAUGGAUGUGGAUGCCGCAGUUCAAAAUAUCCAGCGAUUCAAAAUAAGGAGGGCCUCACCGACACCAAGUAGACCAUUCUCAGCAACUACAAUGAAGAAAUGUCUUCAUCGUCUUCCAUCCGUUAUCAGCAAACUGAGAUGA